CUCGAAUUUAAAAGAGCUAUGCAUGAAUAUAUAUUAAUGUAGAAUAAUUAUUUAUAAUUUGUGUAUUGUAAUGAAACGUUAUUCGUUUUUAAAUAUAUCUAGUUUUCUAAGAAAUUAAUUAAAUUUAGUAACUAUUUAAUAUUUUUAUUAAUAUUUAUUUUUAUAUUAAUAGUUAAUAAUAUCUAAGGGGAUGAGCUUUUAGAUAAAUACUUAUAAGAUGUUUAUGUUAUGAUAAUUUGUAGGAUUAGAAUUUUCCACCUAUAAAAGGAUGUUAUAAUUUAUUAUUGUAGAAUAUGAUUUAUAUUUUCUUUAAGUUUUUUAUUAGAAUAAUAAUACUAAUUUUUAGUGUUAUGAGAUAAUGAUUGGAUUAGUAUAAAUGAUUGUA
rnacentral:rRNA from 1 species